rnacentral:rRNA from 1 species
UACGUAGGGGGCAAGCGUUAUCCGGAUUUACUGGGUGUAAAGGGAGCGCAGACGGCAGUGCAAGUCUGGAGUGAAAGCCCGGGGCCCAACCCCGGAACUGCUCUGGAAACUGUGCGGUUAGAGUACUGGAGGGGCAGGCGGAAUUCCUAGUGUAGCGGUGAAAUGCGUAGAUAUUAGGAGGAACACCAGUGGCGAAGGCGGCCUGCUGGACAGUAACUGACGCUGAGGUUCGAAAGCGUGGGUAGCAAACAGG